UGAGGGAAAGGUGAAAAGCACCCCGUCGAGGGGAGUGAAAUAGAUCCUGAAACCCUGCGCCUAUAAGCAGUGGGAGCGCUACACCGGCCUUCGGGCCGGCAAUCUGCGUGACCGCGUGCCUUUUGCAUAAUGAGCCAACGAGUUAUGGUCUGUAGCAAGGCUAAGCCCAUGGCGGAGCCGAAGCGAAAGCGAGUCUGAACAAGGCGACCAUAGUUGCAGGCCAUAGACCCGAAACCGAGUGAUCUAUCCCUGUCCAGGUUGAAGCCUGGGUAAGACCAGGUGGAGGACCGAACCGGUGUGCCUUAAAAAGCGCUCGGAUGAGGUGGGGAUAGGAGUGAAAGGCUAAUCAAACUCGGAGAUAGCUGGUUCUCCCCGAAAUAUAUUGAGGUAUAGCCUUGCGCAUCUGGCUGCCGGUGGUAGAGCACUGAAUGGACUAGGGGGCCCACCAGCCUACCAAACCCAAUCAAACUCCGAAUGCCGGCAAGCGAUAAGCGCAGGAGUCAGACUGCGGGAGCUAACUUCCGUGGUCGAGAGGGAAACAACCCAGACCAUCAGCUAAGGUCCCUAAGUACCGGUUAAGUGGGAAAGGAUGUGGGGGUGCACAGACAACCAGGAGGUUAGCUUAGAAGCAGCUACCCUUUAAAGAAAGCGUAAUAGCUCACUGGUCAAGCGCACCUGCGCCGAAAAUGUAACGGGGCUAAACCGGUCACCGAAGCUAUGGGUGCGGGAUUCUUCCCGCGCGGUAGGGGAGCGUUCGUUGCGGUGUGAAGCCGGAUCGGCAAGGGCCGGUGGACGGCAACGAAGUGCUUAUGUUGGCAUCAGUAACGAUAAAGCGGGUGAGAAUCCCGCUCGCCGCAAACCCAAGGGUUCCUCAGCCAUGCUCGUCAGCUGAGGGUUAGUCGGAUCCUAAGGUGAGGCCGAAAGGCGUAGCCGAUGGGAAACGGGUUAAUAUUCCCGUACUGGUCACCCCGCGUUAUGAGCCAUGGGGGGACGCAGAAGGUCAGGUCGGCCGGGUGAUGGACGUCCCGGUUCAAGGGUGUAGGUGGGGCCCGUAGGCAAAUCCGCGGGCCGGUUACCGCCGAGACCCGAUGACGAGAGGCCCUUGUGCCUCGCAAAGCGACUGUCGACCCCGCUGCCAAGAAAAGCCCCUAAGCCAGUUGGAUGGCCAUCCGUACCGUAAACCGACACAGGUGGGUGAGGAGAGUAUCCUCAGGCGCGUGAGAGAAACCUCGCUAAGGAACUCUGCAAACUGAGUCCGUAACUUCGGAAGAAGGACUGCCCGUAGUAGGUGGAGCCCCUCGCGGGCCGAGCCCAGGCGGGUCGCAGCGAAAGGGCCCAGGCGACUGUUUAGCAAAAACACAGCACUCUGCAAACGCGCAAGCGGACGUAUAGGGUGUGACGCCUGCCCGGUGCCGGAAGGUUAACAGGAGAGGUUCGGGGGCAACCCCAAAGCCUUGAAUCGAAGCCCCGGUAAACGGCGGCCGUAACUAUAACGGUCCUAAGGUAGCGAAAUUCCUUGUCGGGUAAGUUCCGACCUGCACGAAUGGCGUAACGACUUCCCCGCUGUCUCCAACAUCGACUCAGCGAAACUGAAUUCUCCGUGAAGAUGCGGAGUACCCGCGGUUAGACGGAAAGACCCCGUGCACCUUUACUACAGCUUUGCAGUGGUAUUAGGGUCGGCAUGUGUAGGAUAGGCGGGAGCCUAUGAAGCGGUGGCGCCAGCCAUCGCGGAGGCAGCCUUGAAAUACCGCCCUUGUCGGCUCUGAUAUCUAA
rnacentral:rRNA from 1 species